rnacentral:rRNA from 1 species
AGAGUUUGAUCCUGGCUCAGGAUGAACGCUAGCGACAGGCUUAACACAUGCAAGUCGAGGGGCAUCGGGGAGUAGCAAUACUCCGCCGGCGACCGGCGCACGGGUGAGUAACGCGUAUGCAACUUACCUAUCAGAGGAGAAUAGCUCAUCGAAAGAUGAAUUAAUGCUCCAUAAAACAGGGGUCCCGCAUGGGAAUAUUUGUUAAAGAUUCAUCGCUGAUAGAUAGGCAUGCGUUCCAUUAGGCAGUUGGCGGGGUAACGGCCCACCAAACCGACGAUGGAUAGGGGUUCUGAGAGGAAGGUCCCCCACAUUGGUACUGAGACACGGACCAAACUCCUACGGGAGGCAGCAGUGAGGAAUAUUGGUCAAUGGCCGAGAGGCUGAACCAGCCAAGUCGCGUGAAGGAAGAAGGAUCUAUGGUUUGUAAACUUCUUUUAUAGGGGAAUAAAGUGGAGGACGUGUCCUUUUUUGUAUGUACCCUAUGAAUAAGCAUCGGCUAACUCCGUGCCAGCAGCCGCGGUAAUACGGAGGAUGCGAGCGUUAUCCGGAUUUAUUGGGUUUAAAGGGUGCGUAGGUGGUUUCUUAAGUCAGCGGUGAAAGUUUGUGGCUUAACCAUAAAAUUGCCAUUGAUACUGGGAGACUUGAGUAUGUUUGAGGUAGGCGGAAUGCGUGGUGUAGCGGUGAAAUGCAUAGAUAUCACGCAGAACUCCGAUUGCGAAGGCAGCUUGCCAAGCCAUAACUGACACUGAAGCACGAAAGCGUGGGUAUCAAACAGGAUUAGAUACCCUGGUAGUCCACGCAGUAAACGAUGAUUACUAGGAGUUUGCGAUAUAGUGUAAGCUCUACAGCGAAAGCGUUAAGUAAUCCACCUGGGGAGUACGCCGGCAACGGUGAAACUCAAAGGAAUUGACGGGGGCCCGCACAAGCGGAGGAACAUGUGGUUUAA